GAUGAAGAACGUAGCGAAAUGCGAUACUUGGUGUGAAUUGCAGAAUCCCGUGAACCAUCGAGUCUUUGAACGCAAGUUGCGCCUCAAGCCAUUAGGUUGAGGGCACGUCUGCCUGGGCGUCACAUAUCGUUGCCUGAUGCCAGUUUCCUCGUGAUGGGUGACUGUGCAGGGCGAAUGAUGGCUUCCCGUGAGCAUUGUUGCCUCAUGGUUGGUUGAAAAUUGAGUCCUUGGUAGGGAGCGCCGUGAUAGAUGGUGGUUGAGUGACGAACGAGACCCAAUCAUGUGAGACCCCUACCGAAUUUGGCCUUCAUGACCCACAUGCGUCUUUUGACGCUCAUGAUGAGACCUCAGGUCAGGCGGGGCUACCCGCUGAAUUUAAGCAUAUCAAUAAGCGGAGGA
rnacentral:misc_RNA from 1 species